UACGAAGGGGGCUAGCGUUGCUCGGAAUCACUGGGCGUAAAGGGUGCGUAGGCGGGUCUUUAAGUCAGGGGUGAAAUCCUGGAGCUCAACUCCAGAACUGCCUUUGAUACUGAGGAUCUUGAGUUCGGGAGAGGUGAGUGGAACUGCGAGUGUAGAGGUGAAAUUCGUAGAUAUUCGCAAGAACACCAGUGGCGAAGGCGGCUCACUGGCCCGAUACUGACGCUGAGGCACGAAAGCGUGGGGAGUAAACAGG
rnacentral:rRNA from 1 species